AUUGAACGCUGGCGGCAGGCCUCACACAUGCAAGUCGAACGAGUGGCGGACGGGUGAGUAAUUUCUGGGAAACUGCCUGAUGGAGGGGGCUAACUACUGGAAACGGUAGCUAAUACCGCAUACCAGCAGAUGUGCCCAGAUGGGAUUCGGUAGUUGGUGGGGUAACGGCUCACCAAGGAGACGAUCCCUAGCUGGUCUGAGAGGAUGACCAGCCACAGUGGAAGUGAUACACGGUCCAGACGACUACGGGAGGCAGCAGUGGGGAAUAUUGCAAAAUGGGCGCAAGCCUGAUGCAGCCAUGCCGCGUGUAUGAAGAGGGCCUUCGGGUUGUAAAGUACUUGCAGCGGGGAGGCGUUACCCGCAGAAGAAGCACCGGCUAACUCCGUGCCAGCAGCCGCGGUAAUAC
rnacentral:rRNA from 1 species